AUGCAGUCGAGCGGAACGACACUAACAAUCCUUCGGGUGCGUUAAUGGGCGUCGAGCGGCGGACGGGUGAGUAAUGCCUAGGAAAUUGCCUUGAUGUGGGGGAUAACCAUUGGAAACGAUGGCUAAUACCGCAUAAUGCCUACGGGCCAAAGAGGGGGACCUUCGGGCCUCUCGCGUCAAGAUAUGCCUAGGUGGGAUUAGCUAGUUGGUGAGGUAAUGGCUCACCAAGGCGACGAUCCCUAGCUGGUCUGAGAGGAUGAUCAGCCACACUGGAACUGAGACACGGUCCAGACUCCUACGGGAGGCAGCAGUGGGGAAUAUUGCACAAUGGGCGAAAGCCUGAUGCAGCCAUGCCGCGUGUAUGAAGAAGGCCUUCGGGUUGUAAAGUACUUUCAGUUGUGAGGAAGGGGGUAGCGUUAAUAGCGCUAUCUCUUGACGUUAGCAACAGAAGAAGCACCGGCUAACUCCGUGCCAGCAGCCGCGGUAAUACGGAGGGUGCGAGCGUUAAUCGGAAUUACUGGGCGUAAAGCGCAUGCAGGUGGUUCAUUAAGUCAGAUGUGAAAGCCCGGGGCUCAACCUCGGAACUGCAUUUGAAACUGGUGAACUAGAGUACUGUAGAGGGGG
rnacentral:rRNA from 1 species